rnacentral:rRNA from 1 species
AUACGGAGGGUGCAAGCGUUGUUCGGAAUCGCUGGGCGUAAAGGGCGCGCAGGCGGUUUGGUAAGUCAGAUGUGAAAGCCCACGGCUCAACCGUGGAAGCGCAUUUGAAACUGUCAGACUUGAGUACUAGAGGGGAAAGUGGAAUUCCCGGUAUAGAGGUGAAAUUCGUAGAUAUCGGGAGGAAUACCGGUGGCGAAGGCGACUUUCUGGCUAGAUACUGACGCUGAGGCGCGAAAGCGUGGGGAGCAAACGGGAUUAGAAACCCCAGUAGUCC